rnacentral:tRNA from 1 species
GGCCCUCUGGCGCAACGGUAGCGCGUUCGACUCCAGAUCGAGACUCAUCGAGAUGCUAUCGAAAGGUUAUCUGUUCAAAUCAGGUGGGGGUCA